UUUCCACAGAAGAUACUAAGCGGAUACAGAA
rnacentral:piRNA from 1 species